AUUGAACGCUGGCGGCAGGCCUAACACAUGCAAGUCGAACGAGUGGCGGACGGGUGAGUAAUGUCUGGGAAACUGCCCGAUGGAGGGGGAUAACUACUGGAAACGGUAGCUAAUACCGCAUACCAUCGGAUGUGCCCAAAUGGGAUUAGCUAGUAGGUGGGGUAAUGGCUCACCUAGGCGACGAUCCCUAGCUGGUCUGAGAGGAUGACCAGCCACACUGGAACUGAGACACGGACCAGACUCCUACGGGAGGCAGCAGUGGGGAAUAUUGCACAAUGGGCGCAAGCCUGAGGCAGCCGUGCCGCGUGUAUGAGGAAGGCCUUAGGGUUGUAAAGUACUUUCAGCGGGGAGGCGUUACCCGCAGAAGAAGCACCGGCUAACUCCGUGCCAGCAGCCGCGGUAAUAC
rnacentral:rRNA from 1 species